rnacentral:rRNA from 1 species
AAUGAACGUUGGCGGCAUGGAUUAGGCAUGCAAGUCGAGCGCGAAACGUAGCAAUACGUGGAGAGCGGCGAAAGGGAGAGGAAUAUGUGGGCACCUACCUUCGGGCCUGGAAUAGCGGCGGGAAACUGCCGGUAAUGCCAGAUAACGUCCCCGGACCAAAGGUGUGUUUCCGCCUGGAGAUGGGCCCACAUCCUAUCAGCUUGCUGGUGUGGUAACGGCGCACGAAGGCUAAGACGGGUAUGGGGUGUGAGAGCAUGCCCCCACUCACUGGGACUGAGACACUGCGCAGACACCGACGGGUGGCUGCAGUCGAGAAUCGGCAGCAGUGAGCGCAAGCUUGAACGAGCGAUGCGGCGGGCGGGAUGAAGUCCCUCGGGUUGUAAACCGCUGUCGUAGGGGAAUAACGGUCGGUGGGUGCUCCCAUCGAUUUAAAUGAUCCGAGGAGGAAGGACGGGCUAAGUUCGUG